rnacentral:rRNA from 1 species
GAACUAUAGAGUUUGAUCCUGGCUCAGAUUGAACGCUGGCGGCAUGCCUUACACAUGCAAGUCGAACGGCAGCGCGGGAGCAAUCCUGGCGGCGAGUGGCGAACGGGUGAGUAAGACAUCGGAACGUGCCCAAUCGUGGGGGAUAACGCAGCGAAAGUUGUGCUAAUACCGCAUACGAUCUAUGGAUGAAAGCAGGGGAUUCGCAAGAACCUUGCGCGAAUGGAGCGGCCGAUGGCAGAUUAGGUAGUUGGUGGGGUAAAGGCUCACCAAGCCAACGAUCUGUAGCUGGUCUGAGAGGACGACCAGCCACACUGGGACUGAGACACGGCCCAGACUCCUACGGGAGGCAGCAGUGGGGAAUUUUGGACAAUGGGCGCAAGCCUGAUCCAGCCAU